UGGUAGUGUUGAGGAAAUAUACUUCUGUGGGAAAUUUCAAGAUGUUUCAUAUCUGGUCAUUAAUUCGAAUCCAGGAGUAAUCACUUUGAUGAUGCUAACAAAAAUCAGAUGGUUGUAGGGAAGAAAGAAACACCCCAUCUCGUACAACGUGGUAAACAACUAAUUGGUAACUAUCUUCUUCAAUCGAUUAUUUCUAAUAUUGAUCUACGAGAAGAUCUUACUGAUGCAGUGAAGGAAUUUGUGAAAUUUUGGUUUAAAAUUGGGGACUCUGUGGGUUAUUUAGAUCAAGUCUGGAUAGAGGAGACUAUUAAGAGUAGAGACAUGGUUCUUCUGCAUGUGAGUGGUUAUUUUAAG